GGGGUCCGUGAUGAUCCACGGUUACCUACAUUGUUUGACCCUCGUGAGAACAGCCUUGGCUGAGACGCCC